rnacentral:lncRNA from 1 species
GUGACACUAGAGCAAAGAUUAUAAAAGCAGAAAGAAAAGGUAAAAAAAUCCAGAAGGUUUUUAUUCUUAGGUCUCUAUUUCUCUGUCCUGUGUGAAAUAUCUGAUUCAGCAGUUACUGUCAUAAACUGUGAAAAAUCUAACAUGCAAAAUUUUCAACAUUCUUGUUAGGGUAAAGAACACAUCUUUACUGUCAUAGGUGAGGAAAGAGCAGAAUAACUAUGGGAAAAUCAAUAUGACCAAAUUUGUUACUGCCAUGGAGAAUAUUAAUAGAAUUACAAUAAAGAAAUGAAAAAUGACCUGAUGGAAAAGGCCUCUGCACCAUAGGUAUUUAACAUAAGGCAGGAUAAACCUUCCAAGUUACCUCUUUCCAUGGCUGAUUCAAGAAAUGGUGGAAGUUGAGAUAUUGAAGGUUCAUAUCUUGGGAAAACUCCUGUGGGCACAGGAAGCUCACAAAGAGUUUUCCCUCCCAAGGAGCCAAUGUGAUGAACACUCAAAGGGCAGAGAAGCACACCAAACUUCAUCACAGUUUCCCUCCUUGUCAUUUCCCAUUUCCCAAGGAGAUGAACUUCCCUAAAAGAGAAUUUCUGUUUAGCUCAAUUUUGGGUAAAAUAAAUGGUCUCUCCAGUUUAGCCUGUGUGAAAAU